rnacentral:rRNA from 1 species
UAGGGAAUAUUGCUUAAUGAGCGAAAGCCUGAAGCAGCAACGCCGCGUGCACGAUGAAGGUCUUCGGAUCGUAAAGUGCUUUUUUAGAGGAUGAGGAAGGACAGUACUCUAAAAAUAAGCCUCGGCUAACUACGUGCCAGCAGCCGCGGUAAAACGUAGGAGGCGAGCGUUAUCCGGAUUUACUGGGCGUAAAGCGUGUGCAGGUGGUUUGGUAAGUUGGAUGUGAAAGCUCCUGGCUUAACUGGGAGAGGUCGUUCAAUACUGUCAGACUUGAGAGUGAGAGAGGGAGGUGGAAUUCCGGGUGUAGUGGUGAAAUGCGUAGAUAUCCGGAGGAACACCAGUGGCGAAAGCGGCCUCCUGGCUCAUUUCUGACACUCAUACACGAAAGCUAGGGUAGCAAACGG